CAGUCGUACCGAUGAGAAUUCAGCUCUUCAAGUGCGAACUUGUGGGCGUGCGUGAGCUUUAAAACCUCGCUGUUUGCAACGUUUGUAUUUUUUGGGUGUACUUAUUCGUGUGGUAAGUUAACAUCAAUUUUGGUUGUCAUAAAAUGAUUGGAGGAAUGUAGCUUCGAUCUCGUAUUGAAGUGUUAUAGCCUUUGGUAGAUGUGACGAUCGGGAUUGAGGAUUGCAACGGGAUACCCGUUCGGGGCUACCUGUCUGAUCUCUGAUUGUUGCUCUGGUGCUGAAAGCUUGCUUAUGGUUAUCAAAGUCGAUGGUCAAUAGG
rnacentral:rRNA from 1 species